rnacentral:rRNA from 1 species
AUUGAACGCUGGCGGCAGGCCUAACACAUGCAAGUCGAGCGGAUGACGGGAGCUUGCUCCUUGAUUCAGCGGCGGACGGGUGAGUAAUGCCUAGGAAUCUGCCUGGUAGUGGGGGACAACGUUUCGAAAGGAACGCUAAUACCGCAUACGUCCUACGGGAGAAAGCAGGGUACCUUCGGGCCUUGCGCUAUCAGAUGAGCCUAGGUCGGAUUAGCUAGUUGGUGGGGUAAUAGCUCACCAAGGCGACGAUCCGUAACUGGUCUGAGAGGAUGAUCAGUCACACUGGAACUGAGACACGGUCCAGACUCCUACGGGAGGCAGCAGUGGGGAAUAUUGGACAAUGGGCGAAAGCCUGAUCCAGCCAUGCCGCGUGUGUGAAGAAGGUCUUCGGAUUGUAAAGCACUUUAAGUUGGGAGGAAGGGCAGUAAGUUAAUACCUUGCUGUUUUGACGUUACCGACAGAAUAAGCACCGGCUAACUCUGUGCCAGCAGCCGCAGUAA